rnacentral:tRNA from 1 species
GCGGGAGUAGCUCAGGGGUAGAGCGUCUGCCUUCCAAGCAGAAUGUCGAGGGUUCGAAUCCCUUCUCCCGCUCCA